UCUCUCUCAAAGCUGCACACUUGGUCAAAGAGGAUAACCUUCCCCAAGUAGAGGAGGGACGGUCUUCAGUCAAGGGUAUAUGAAUAGCUGUGCUCUGCUAGAACCUCCAAACAACCCCUCAAUUUCUCUUUUUUAAAAUUAUUAAUUAAUUCAAUU
rnacentral:sRNA from 1 species